UUGUUAGUAGGAGCUUCUAUAAUGUCAAGAUCAGGAGAGGGGCAAAGAGAGCCUCUUCCAAAGUUUUAUGGGACGAAUGAAUAAUGUUUUUGUUUGUGAAGAUAAUGUUCGUUUGUUCACAACAUAAGUUUUUGGCGGGUUCUACCUACCAAGCCAAUAAUCUUUAACAAUUUCAUUAAUCUCUGGCAUGUGCUAUAUUGAUCUGAAAAUGCCUAGAUCUUUUCUAUGUUGAAAAUGAUACAAAAAGAUUGUUAAAGGUUUAUGGUCCGAUUCCUUAAUUAAACUUGGAGUACUUGCAAUGCGCUGCAAGAAACAUCUCUAAUCUAGAGUAAUUCUCUGAUGGGGUCAGGACGAAAACCUGAUUCAGUUUUGUUGACAAGUUACAGGACCAAUGGUGUAGUAUGUAUGCUUGUUCUGCCCCUUUUCAUUCCUUUCUUCUCUCGCCUCCCUCCAUUUUGCAUGUCAAUCUUAUUCCUUUGUGAGAGCUUGUAUGUAAAGCAUGACACUUUCGAUGGAAUAUUUCACAAUUUUAUAUAAACUCAAAGCUCUUUUGCUGCUCUAGUUGCAGAUUCAAAGACUUUAAAGGAAGAGAAAAGAGAAGAACUUUAAAAAAUCUUAAAGCUUGACAAGUCGUUGGAUGGGGCUGUUGACGUCAUUGGUUCCAUGGAACUCUCAGCUAAGAUACUUGCAAAGUUAGUAAUCAUAUAGCUUUGGUUUUGUUUGUCUACAGAAACAAGAUCCAUUUAAAUGAGAUUUCAUAUAACUCUGCAACGGGCUCAUCAAACAGGUUAUAGACAUGGAGUUCUUCUAACUGAAGUCUUUGAUUACCCUUUCAGUGGAAACAGAACUAUCAUCUUAAGAGAGAAAUGUAUAUAUGUGAGACUAAGAAUUCUAAAUUGCAUUUGCAGGUUUAUCUGGAUACCGUGGGAGAUCCUGAGAAGUAAUGAAUAAAACUGUCUGAUAAGUUUGGUUCGAUCAAAUUUGCCGUUUCAAAGAAAGCUGAUAGUUUGUAUCCUAUUGUUAGUGGAGCAAGUAUUGUGGCCAAGGUGACCAGAGACAGAGCGUUGACAGAGUGUUGGUAGAGGAAACUGGAGAAAACAUAAACAGAAACUUGGGUUCUGGUCUUCUGGAUAUUCCGGAGAUCCUGAGACAAAGGCAUGUUAGAGCAACACAAACAUUGUGUUUGGAUUCCCAUCAUUGGUACGUUUCAGUUGGGGAACUUGCACUAACGCAUUUGAAGGGCAAUGUUGAAGUUUCAUUGUUAGUUUUUCUAGUUGCUCAUAAAAUUAUCAUUUUUGUGUAGUUUACACAAACAUUUUUGAUUUUAUAUAUCACUUAAUAGCUUAUAAAAUUAUCAUCAUUUAUUUUUGUAUAGUUAUGCAUUUGCAUUCAUAUUCUUUAUUUUAAACCAGUAAAAAAAUGCAACUUUUAUAUUAUCUUUGUAAUUACCAUUCAGAAUUGAUAAAUGGAAUAUACUGGAAACAUCCAGUGGUUUAUGGUGAAUUUUAUAAAAGCAUAAUAUACUCAAAUAUAUUAAGACGUCAGCACAGACAAGAACAGAACAAUGAAACCCUUAAUUAAUCAUGGCCACUAGAACUAUAUAGAAAACAAGGAAAGGUCUCUUCAAAAAGUGACGGAUCCGACGGCAGAUAGUUAAUGUUUCAGAUCGACGGUCGAAUGGUUCAUGCCUCUAUCUGGUUUAGUGUGAAACCACGUCAGUCUAAAAUGAAACCUCCAAUAAAAAGCCAACAAAGCUCUCUUAUUUUUUCUCUUUCGAUAAAGCUUCUCUACUUUAAUCUUUGUUUUUAUUUUUAUUAUUUCUUUGGGUGUAUUCGAGACACAUUCCAGUGAAUAUAUUCUUUACCCAUCCCUUUAUCUAGAUAACUUAUUUUAUAUUCCAAAUCAUUUUGAUUUAGACUGAGCCGACCGAAUACUUUAAUAUGCGAUCACGAAUUUUUUAAAUGUGACUGAAUGUUGAUGUAUAGAGGUAAGAUUCGAUGUUCAGUAUCUUUAGACAUUCUAGAGAAAGGACACAAAUUUAAGCAUAUUAUAGAUUGAUGCUAAAAUAGAUUUUAGUUCAAAUAUUGUAAGAGUGUUAACCAUCGUUGGGUGGUACGGGCAGAGCUAGGAAUUAUUCUCACCGGAAUCAAUAUUAUUAUACUUAUCUAGUAAUAUUAAGACAGGUGCAAAAAUUAGAUUUCAUCUUUAAACAAGAGGGUCAAUUCUAUAUGAAUGACCUUCUUUUUUUACACUAACAACUUCAGUUAUAAACAAAAAACUAGAUUUUGACCCGCCUUUGAAAAGCGCGGGUUUUUUAGGUUAUAUUAUAAUACAAAGUCUUAUUAUAUCAAAAAAUAUAUUUUUUAACAGUUAUAUAAUAUAUGAAUUAGUUUAUUUGAUAUUUUAUAUGUACACUUUUACAUAAGUUUUUUUAGGCAUGAGAAUUAUAUCCGGAUCAAAAAAACAAACCGAACCGACCCGAAAAUAUAGGUUUAGUUCAGGUCGAGAGAAGAUAACCUAUUGGAGUUUUUUUUGGACCCGCGUCCGGUCCUACCCUAGAUCCGAUCAUAAAUAUGUUGUGUUUAUUAGGUAUAUUUGGAUAUUUCGAAUAUGUUUCUGGCAUUAUCGAUGUUUUUUUUAGGUUUUUGGUUUACGAUUAUAGUUUUUGAUUUCAUGUAAAUUUUCAAAUUAAAAAAAAAAUUUUGGGUAUUUGGAUAAAAUUUUGUGUAUUUUCAGUUCAGUGUCAGAUUUUGAAUAAGAUUUUAAAUUUUUAGGUAUUUGAAUUUUUUGGGUAUUUGUUUGGAGUUUCAAGUAUUUUUCGUGUUUCAGAUAUUUUUCAGCUUUUUUAGAUAUUUCAAAUCUUUUUAGAAUCCUAAAUACCCGAACAGAUGUGGACCCAUUACGUGCAUAUCGGGUCCAACAACCUUUUGAUAUAGGUUUUUAACGUUAUUGUACAAAAACAUGGUUGAUGAAAUAUUUUUAGAAAACUCAUUUUUAAAUAUGAAAAUAUCUAUCAAAAUAUAGACGGUU